UCCACCUCCUCCGGCUUUCCCUGUCGCUCACAUCCCUCUCAGUCCAUGGCUUCCGGCGCAUCCCCUCGCGGCGGCCACCACUCCUUGUCUCCUCCUAGGUUCUUGAUCUGGAGCGGGAGGGACAGACGAGGCUACAAGCGCCGGCAUGAUUGUCCACAGCACUGUCGCCGUCGUCCUCGACAGUGGGAGGGCGGGCCGCCAAGAAAGCCGGCUCUGUCUUGCUCUCGCGCCACUGUCCAUCCACCUGAGAAGCCCGUCCGCACACCUGUCAUUCACGCCCCUCCUCGGCUCAUUCUCAUCUCUGUCAGGCAGAUGAACUCCUGCUUCCUCUCUGUCUCCCUUUGAUUUUGUGCUUGUGCUGUACUGUGUGUUUGUGCAGUUGCUUUUUGAGCUACGGCUACUACUUGUGCUGCUAGAUGUGUGUGCUGGUUCUGGUGCUGCUAGCUGCUGCUGGUUGCUUGUGUUGCUACUGCUACUACCUGUUGCUGGUUGCUUCUUUAUUUGGUUAAUUGUGACACUGAAAAGCCUUUGUGAAAAGCAAAAAUUGAUGAGAAGGCUAUGAGCUGAUGAGAUGACCUUCAUUUUCAAUAUUUUAUUUAAUAAUUGAUGAAGGAUAUGUCAUAAAUUCAGUUGCUAACAUUUUCUCUAUGGUGUAUGUACCUAUUGUUCAUUGCAUUCGAGGGAGAGGACAACAAGAUUAAGAGAGCCUUGGGACGCGAAGGCAGUAGCAUGCAGCGCCAGGUCAAGUGCACCGACCUCGACGACAAGAGACCAGUACACUUAACAAGAGUAAGAGAGCCUUGGGACAACACUGGAUGAGGGCGUCGACUAAAGGACCGCGAAGACGUCUUCCUCCAAAAUCUUGCCGAGGAUUUUGUUGCAACGACACAGUGCUGACAAUUUUUGUUUUUGGAAUUUGUCAAUGAAAUUCUGCUCGAUCAGGGUUCUUAAAUAUAUGUUCACCAAUUCAGAUGAACUGCUUAUUUUAUGUGCAUACUGGAUAUUUGUCAUAUAUGUAGAAGGUUCUACAAUAUAUCAAAGAAAAACAAAACAGAGAGGAUGCUGGGGCUUGGGCAAGGGAGGCUGCGCUCAGUGCAGUACUGCGGUCUUUACUGCCUUUCACUGUUAAUUAAAUAUAUAUUCUCUUCAUAGUUCAUACAGUUUUAGGCUUUUAGCAGUAUGAAAAGUCACAGAUAAUGUGAUGGUGACAUUUGGGCUUAUACAAGUGUUAGUUGUCAGUCUCUGCCCGCAUGCAUUUGAACGUUGCCUUGGCCACGAUCCUUAAGCUUGUCAAAAGUUGUGGAUCGAUAGGCAUUGACAAAAAAAAUAUAAGCUCUAUGUUCUGAAAUACAGGUAGAGCAGCAGCUAUAGCACCCCUAGAGAGAUUGCGUUGAUUGAUUCUCAUCGUAUAUAUAACUCAACUAUUUAAAGUAUUCUAUAUACACUGAAAUCGUGCUCAUAAUUUUUUAAAGUAUUCUAUAUGCACUGAAAUCGAGCUCAUAAUUUUUUUAUCAUGUGCCUUUUCUACUAAAGAUCAUUACACUUCUCUUCAGUACAUCAAUGUUACUUCCAAAGCAGAGUCCCUCCUAGAGGACAGUUUCUUUUAUCAGAAGGGUGAGUGUUGUAUAUUUUUCUGUCCACUAAAUGAACUACUUCUGGUUACAUAUUGUGACAGAAUUAAGUAGGCAUAGGCUUGUUCGUUGAUUUUUAUACCGAAACUGAAUUGGUAUUGUGUUAAUACAUUAUAGUCAUCCUUGAAGGACAUGUGUUUUAUUGCCAUGCUUGCUUAAUAAUUGCUUGCUGAAGCAUUGGUCCUAAUUUACCACGGGUUUCGCUGGCGUUGCAUUUUCUUUUUGUAUAUGGUUGCUGCAGUGGCCAUUGAAUAGUGAUUCUAUCCAUUAGUAGUAUCUUGUUAUUAUGAAAGUUUGUGUAUUUUUUGUACAUAUGAAGGUUUGUGUAUUUUGUUCUCAGCUGCGUUGCUACAUAUAAAUUUGAGGCAAAUGAUGAUAAGGUUCAGACUCACACUUUUUCUGAUUUUAUCUUGUCAUCAUGAAGGUUUGUGUAUUUGUUUUUGUGCUGCAUAUAAAUUUGAGGAGAAUGAUUUUAUGGUUCAAAGAGACAGUUUAAUCAUAUUUGAGCUGCCAGCUUGCUUCAGCCAUGUGAUACCGGAGCCCGAGGUUGACAGUGUCCAAAUGACUGAACUUUUUCGCAACAUUAAUAGUACUUCCUCCAUCCGAAAAUGCUUGUCCCAAGCUUGUCUCUCAAAUGGAUGUAUCUAGCACUAACUUGGUCUAGAUACAUCUAUUUUAGGAACAUACUUUUUCGGACGGAGGGAGUAGUACUCUUGAUAAACAUAGCAAUCCUGACCUUUUUGUAUCGUUCGCCUGUUUGCAUGUUUAUAACAGGGGAAUUAGUCCGAGUGUUAUUGGUUCAGUUGCUACAGGUGGAAUAUAUCUUUGGUGUUAUUGAAUCUUUAACCAAGACAUGGCUGGAGGCUGGAGCACACUAAUCCCGAUUGAAUUUGUCAUCUCACUUUAUAGGUGGAGUAAUUGUAGACUCCCUCAUCACCUUUCCAGUGCUAUUGAUCGCUCACAGCUUGAAUCUGAAUGUGCUUCUUCCAGUCUAUGCUCCCUCUCUUUGGUUCAUUGGCCUCCCAAGACUACUUUGUAAGCUGUGGAUGUCAAUGUCAGUUCUUCUGCUGCAAAGUUGGGGAAAGAAUUGCAGUGCAAUCAAGUUUUGUCCGAGCACACAACAUCAGCGACGUGACGAUGAAGCAAUGACAUUGUCUGGCUAUUCAUACAAUUCUAUAGAAGAUGCAAUGGACGUUGCAACUGCUCGAGUAAUGAAAUAUAUGGAGACCAUGCGUGCCAAGGUAUUGAAAGACUAUAGUUACAACGAGCUGCAACAAAAAAAGGAAAGAGAACUGCAUCUGAUUGGUUUGUUAGGACAAAGAGAAAGAAAUCAAAGAAUAGGCUCUGAAGAUUAGAGAACUUAGCAAAGACUUUGCAGAUCAGGUUAAAAGCACUUCUUCUGAGAUUCACCGCCCAGCUAAAGGAAGUGUAUGCUCAGCCAAUUCCAUAAGUGGUCGCGAGCUCGACAAAGUGGCUAUAGAUAUUCACAAUGCAAUUGCUCAUCUUGGCCAGUUGAGUGAAAACUCUAUGCAGGUAAUCCAAAACACAUCGGUAUAUCCACGUAGGAGAGGAUCUACUUCCACAGCCUAUGUGCCUUCAGAAGAUGCCGAUACUACCAGCUACAACAGCCUUCUUUUUGAAUAUCAAGUGAUUACCUUUGUCUAGAGAAGAUCACUGCCAUAGUUCAUCUGCCAGUCUUUCCAGAGCUUCUAUCCUGUUGAUGGACUUUGAACUUAAGCUAUCCCCAGCUAUGUAUGUUAGUUGCGGCAAUCGCAUGUAUAUAGAUUAAACCAUCAGCUACGUUCUAUGUUGCGAGGCAAAUGUCAGUAGUCUCUCAAUAUAACAUGCAGCAGCUUAUUACGUAUUUCCUACGAACAUAUGUUCACUAUUAAUAAACCUA